AGAAGACACGGGUUGUACUGACCAUGCCAGGUGACCGAGGAUUGACUGAGUUACUGAGGUCUCUCAAAUCACAUUUCAUAGCUAUGCUCAGAGAGCCCACGGCCUACCCACCCUUUUGAUGUUUUCACUGAUCCCACUUCCUGCUACAGAUGAGCUCAGCAGACUCUGCAUGUAGACAUGAGGAAAAAUCAUUCAACACACCUGAAAAAUUCAUUGAGGCCAGGCCAUCAAUGAGAGGCUUUAGGUGUUACUUCUAGCAACUUGCAAACAACUUUAAUUGCAGUGAGACCUCCAGGCUGGACCAAGAAGGGGAUUCCCUUACAACACACAUGAAAGCAUCUGGCCGGAAUGAGACAGUACAGUUUCCAAAGCUCCAAAUGAAUUAGUGGCUGAAGAAGCUGAUUCAGCAAUUGCAUUCCCAG